UACAGAGGUCUCAAGCGUUGUUCGGAUUCAUUGGGCGUAAAGAGCUCGUAGGCGGUUCGGCAAGUCGGGUGUGAAAACUCCAGGCUCAACCUGGAGACGCCACCCGAUACUGCUGUGACUUGAGUCCGGUAGGGGACCACGGAAUUCCUGGUGUAGCGGUGAAAUGCGCAGAUAUCAGGAGGAACACCGGUGGCGAAGGCGGUGGUCUGGGCCGGCACUGACGCUGAGGAGCGAAAGCGUGGGGAGCGAACAGG
rnacentral:rRNA from 1 species